CUCGACAACGGAUAUCUCGGCUCUCGCAUCGAUGAAGAACGUAGUGAAAUGCGAUACUUGGUGUGAAUUGCAGAAUCCCGUGAACCAUCGAGUUUUUGAACGCAAGUUGCGCCCAAAGCCUUUUGGCCGAAGGGCACGUCUGCUUGGGCGUCACG
rnacentral:rRNA from 1 species